rnacentral:rRNA from 1 species
AUGGUGGGGUGUCAUCCUUGUCCCCUGGGUCACUUCAUAAAUAGUGCCAGGGGACAAGUGACACUGUACAUGAUGGCUGGGGUGUCAUGUGAACAGUGCCGGGUACGGUCGUCACGUCGGGGUCGCGUUGGGCUACAGUCGGCAGCCCGCAGUCGGCCUGGGCGGCCGGGGAGUCGGCAGCCAGCAGUCGGCCUGGUGGUGCAGUCGGCAGCCCGCAGUCGACCUGGGUGGCCGGGGAGUCGGCAGCCAGCAGUCGGCCUGGGGGGCCGGGGAGUCGGCAGCCAGCAGUCGGCCUGGUGGUGCAGUUUGCAGCCCGGAGUCGGCCUGGUGGUGCAGUCCGCAGCCCGGAGUCGGCCUGGCGGUGCAGUCGGCAGCCCGCAGUCGGCCUGGGCGGCGGGGGAGUCGGCAGCCAGCAGUCAGCCUGGGCGGCCGGGGAGUCGGCAGCCAGCAGUCGGCCUGGUGGUGCAGUCGGCAGCCCGGAGUCGGCCUCGUGGUGCAAUCCGCAGCCCGGAGUCGGCCUGGUGGUGCAGUCGGCAGCCCGAAGUCGGCCUGGUGGUGCAGUCCGCAGCCCAGAGUCGGCCUAGUGGUGCAGUCCGCAGCCCAGAGUCGGCCGGGUGGCGGGGGAGUUGGACUGAGGGGCUUUGCUAG